UAGUCCACGCCGUAAACGAUGUAUGCUAGUUGUUGGAGUCUUAAGGCUUCAGUGACGCAGAGAAAUCAUUAAGCAUACCGCCUGGGGAGUACGGCCGCAAGGUUAAAACUCAAAGGAAUUGACGGGGACCCGCACAAGCGGUGGAGCAUGUUGUUUAAUUCGAAGCAACGCGAAGAACCUUACCUACACUUGACAUCCUUCUUGGGACUUUCAGAGAUGAUUGUCUUCGGUUCGGCCGGGGAAGUGACAGGUGCUGCAUGGCUGUCGUCAGCUCGUGUCGUGAGAUGUUGGGUUAAGUCCCGCAACGAGCGCAACCCUUGUCUUUAGUUGCCAUCAUUAAGUUGGGCACUUUAAAGAGACUGCCGGUGACAAACCGGAGGAAGGUAAGGAUGACGUCAAGUCAUCAUGGCCCUUACGUGUAGGGCUACAAACGUGCUACAAUGGAUAUGACAGUGGGCAGCCACUCCGCGAGGAGGAGCUAAUCCCUAAACGUAUUCUCAGUUCGGAUUGUUCUCCG
rnacentral:rRNA from 1 species